rnacentral:rRNA from 1 species
GGGUAGUAAUGAUUUUUUAAACCUAAAGAAUUUGGCGGUACUUCAUUCUUACUAGAGGAACCUGCUCUUGAAUCGAUAUUCCACGAUUAAAUUUACAUGUUUUUGUUUUCAGUUUGUAUACCGCCGUUGUCAGAUUAUUUUUAAAAAAUAUUAUCUAGCUAGUUUAUUACUGUGACAUCAGGUCAAGGUGCAGCCGAUGAAUAUGGGAGUAGUGGGUUACAAUAAAAUUAAUUUAAUAUGGAUUAAUAUUUGUAUAAGUGUUAUGAAGGUGGAUUUAGUAGUAAGAUAAAAAUAAAAUAUUUAUAUGAAAUGAGCUCUGAA